GACGAACGCUGGCGGCGUGCCUAACACAUGCAAGUCGAGCGAGUGAAUCUCCUUCGGGAGUGAAGCUAGCGGCGGACGGGUGAGUAACACGUGGGCAACCUGCCUCAUAGAGGGGAAUAGCCUUCCGAAAGGAAGAUUAAUACCGCAUAAGAUUGUAGCUUCGCAUGAAGUAGCAAUUAAAGGAGUAAUCCGCUAUGAGAUGGGGCCCGCGGCGCAUUAGCUAGUUGGUGAGGUAACGGCUCACCAAGGCGACGAUGCGUAGCCGACCUGAGAGGGUGAUCGGCCACAUUGGGACUGAGACACGGCCCAGACACCUACGGGUGGCAG
rnacentral:rRNA from 1 species